rnacentral:rRNA from 1 species
GCCUAGCCCUAAACCUUGGUAAUAUAUCACAUACCCUACCCGCCUGGGAACUACGAGCACCAGCUUAAAACCCAAAGGACUUGGCGGUGCUUUAGACCCCCCUAGAGGAGCCUGUUCUAGAACCGAUAACCCCCGUUCAACCUCACCCUCCCUUGUUUAUCCCGCCUAUAUACCGCCGUCGUCAGCUUACCCUGUGAAGGACUAAAAGUAAGCACAACUGGUACAACCCAAAACGUCAGGUCGAGGUGUAGCGCAUGGAAGGGGAAGAAAUGGGCUACAUUCCCUAUAUUAGGGAACACGAACGGCGCACUGAAACACGCGCCUGAAGGAGGAUUUAGUAGUAAGCGGAAAAUAGCGUGUUCCGCUGAAAUCGGCCCUGAAGCGCGC